UACAGAGGGUGCGAGCGUUAAUCGGACUUACUGUGAGUAAAGCGUGCGUAGGCGGCUUUUUAAGUCGGAUGUGGAAUCCCCGAGCUUAACUUGGGAAUUGCAUUCGAUACUGGGAAGGUAGAGUAUGGGAGAGGAUGGUAGAAUUCCCGGUCUAGCGGUGAAAUGCGUAGAGAUCUGGAGGAAUCCCGAUGGCGAAGGCAGCCAUCUGGCCUAAUACUGACGCUGAGGUACGAAAGCAUGGGGAGCAAACAGG
rnacentral:misc_RNA from 1 species